CUCACGCAGCCAUCUCUUCCUCACCCAUUCUUCCAUCCAAAAUCUGAGAAAAGAAAUCGCAAAUACCGUGAGUUCAACAUCCAAUCUGCUGUUAUUUUCUUAUCUUCUUCCACAAAGUUUGAGAGGAGAAACCGAGACUUAUCAUGAAAUCAAUUCUCCUGACUAGACAAUUUUCUCUUCCGAAGGGUGAACUUUUGCACGUUGUUGAGGUUGGGACAGGAAGUUGGUGGAGGAGCUAAGCUUUUGAGAUGGGCUUUCGUUUUAAAUAAGGACUAUGUCCUAAAUACUAUUUUAUGUGAAAGGAGGUGAAAAUUUGUUUGUCUUGCCAUGUUUUGUGUUUGAAUGAACCUAUCUGAAGUGGCUAUGCCAUGUAUGUUUAAUCGAAUUCGGGUCCCAGUAGGGCCGCAAACCCUGCUCGGACUAGUGUACACCCAGUAGAUCGUGCGCUAUCUCUUUGGAGUUGGCCGGUCUAGUGACUUGGUUCGUGGCCACGUUCCUUGUCAUGUAUGUUCAGAUAUGGUGAUGGUGAU